GCCCGCGUAGUUCAGUGGUAGAACAACCCAUUCGUAAUGGGUAGGUCGUCGGUUCAAAUCCGACCGCGGGCU
rnacentral:tRNA from 1 species